rnacentral:rRNA from 1 species
GACGAACGCUGGCGGCGUGCCUAAUACAUGCAAGUUGAGCGCUGAAGGGUGGUGCUUGUACCAACUGGAUGAGCAGCGAACGGGUGAGUAACGCGUGGGGAAUCUGCCUUUGAGCGGGGGACAACAUUUGGAAACGAAUGCUAAUACCGCAUAAAAACUUUAAACACAAGUUUUAAGUUUGAAAGAUGCAAUUGCAUCACUCAAAGAUGAUCCCGCGUUGUAUUAGCUAGUUGGUGAGGUAAAGGCUCACCAAGGCGAUGAUACAUAGCCGACCUGAGAGGGUGAUAGGCCACAUUGUGAAUGAGAGACGGGCCAAACUCCCACAGGGGGCAGCAGUAGGGGAUCUUCGGCGAUGGACGAGAGUCUGAGCGGGCGAAACGGCGUGAGUGUAGAAGGGUUUUGGAUCGUAAAAAUCUGUUUGUAGAGAAGAAAGUUAGUGAGAGUGGAAAGAUCAUCGAGUGACGGUAACUACCCAGAAAGGCACGGCUAACUACGUG